GUGCACAGUUCAUUGUCCUGUUCUUCUCCGCUGUAGGAACAGUGAUAUUUCUACUGUGCUAUAGUAAAACUGGAGGUAAAUUAGCAGAGUGGCCCUGAAUGCCUCCUCUGCCAGUCCCCUUCACACACUC
ensembl:snoRNA small nucleolar RNA SNORA19